AUUAGAUUUGGAUUUGGACUGGAGUUCAAAUCUUAGAUCUGCCACUUACUAUUACCUCAUUUACUUUGAAUAAAUCACUUAGUUUUUCUACAAUUCUCUUUAAAAUGAGGGGGUUGGAAUGUAUAACUUUGGAGUCUCCUUUCAGCUCUACAUCUAUGAUCCUAUGAGAGUACUAAAGAAAUAUCAGUAAUAAUAAUAAUACCUUGUUUUAAUAAAACUCUUUAUAUAAAAAUUUAAGUGCUUUAGAAGUAUUAUCCUCACAACAACCCUGAGAGAUUAGGUACUAUUAUUAUCCCCACUUUGGAGAUGAGGAAACCGAGGCAGACAGUGGUUAAGUGACUUGCCAAGGGUCACAUAGCUAGUAAGUGUCUGAAGCUGGAUUCAAACUCAGGGGUUCCUGACUGAAGUCUAGCAUUCUAUGCAUGGCACUCCCAAGCUGCAUCAGGAGAGGGAAGUUCCAUUAUAGGAGUCCCCCUACAGUAAUGAAAUCAUAAGUCUAGAGUGAAAAAAUAUUAUUGUUUGGGCACAGGCUUUACUGUUGAGAUUAUGACUGGGGAGGAUACAGCCCAGGAGGGAACUUCUGGUUCUUCUACCUACUGGAACAGAAUUGAGACACUUGUGUUAUUUUUUCAAAACCUGGGUCUAGGUGUGAGAGGUUACUGUAUAUGACCAAAGGCUUUGCCACAUCUUGGCUUCCUUUUCUUUAUUCUACCAGUUGCUAGAGAUUGUGGGAGCUGGGUGUGAGUGAUGACCUCAUUCCUCUUGCAAGAGGUGAAGAAGCUGGCACUGUGGGUCAGACUGUCCCUCCCGUGAUCUUGGGCACUGAGUUAUUCACAAAAAAAAUCUGUUGCUUAGUCUGUAAUGGGCUGCUGCUUCCAAAGCAUCUGAGAAAGGUACUUUUUAAAAAAUUGCUUUUUAUUGAUGUUUUCCGUUUCUUACAUCAUCAUAGCAUCCCAUGUAUCCUUCUCCCUCACCUUCUCCAAGAUCAUACCUUAUGAUAAAUAGUGGUUUGGGGGGAGUGGUCAGAGAGGGGGAAAAAACAGCACAUUGAGAAAGUCCCAAACCAUGUAAAAUGCAUAAUACCUGUCAACCUCCCAUCUUCAUAAAGGGAUACAUUGGGGAGGUCUUCUCAUAUCUCUUCUUUUUCAUCCC
rnacentral:lncRNA from 1 species